GAUGAAGAACGUAGCGAGAUGCGAUAAGUAGUGUGAAUUGCAGAAUUCAGUGAAUCAUCGAAUCUUUGAACGCACAUUGCGCCCCUUGGUAUUCCAUGGGGCAUGCCUGUUCGAGCGUCAUUUGUACCUUCAAGCUUUGCUUGGUGUUGGGUGUUUGUCUCGCCUUUGCGUGUAGACUCGCCUUAAAAUAAUUGGCAGCCGGCGUAUUGAUUUCGGAGCGCAGUACAUCUCGCGCUUUGCACUCAUAACGACAGCGUCCAAAAGUACAUUUUACACUCUUGACCUCGGAUCAGGUAGGGAUACCCGCUGAACUUAAGCAUAUCAAUAAGCGGAGGA
rnacentral:misc_RNA from 1 species